rnacentral:rRNA from 1 species
UUCCGGUUGAUCCUGCCGGACCUGACUGCUAUCGGAUUGAUACUAAGCCAUGCGAGUCAUUGUAGCAAUACAAGGCAGACGGCUCAGUAACGCGUAGUCAACCUAACCUAUGGACGGGAAUACCCUCGGGAAACUGAGAAUAAUGCCCGAUAGAACAUUAUGCCUGGAAUGGUUUAUGUUCCAAAUGAUUUAUCGCCGUAGGAUGGGACUGCGGCCUAUCAGUUUGUUGGUGAGGUAAUGGCCCACCAAGACUAUUACAGGUACGGGCUCUGAGAGGAGUAGCCCGGAGAUGGGUACUGAGACACGGACCUAGGCCCUAUGGGGCGCAGCAGGCGAGAAAACUUUGCAAUGUGCGAAAGCACGACAAGGUUAAUCCGAGUGGUUUCUGCUAAAGGAACCUUUUGUCGGUCCUAGAAACACCGAUGAAUAAGGGGUGGGCAAGUUCUGGUGUCAGCCGCCGCGGUAAAACCAGCACCUCAAGUGGUCAGGAUGAUUAUUGGGCCUAAAGCAUCCGUAGCCUGCUUUGUUAGUUUUCGGUUAAAUCUGUACGCUCAACGUACAGGCUGCCGGGAAUACUGCAAAGCUAGGGAGUGGGAGAGGUAGACGGUACUCGGUAGGAAGGGGUAAAAUCCUUUGAUCUAUUGAUGACCACCUGUGGCGAAGGCGGUCUACCAGAACACGUCCGACGGUGAGGGAUGAAAGCUGGGGGAGCAAACCGGAUUAGAUACCCGGGUAGUCCCAGCCGUAAACCAUGCAAACUCAGUGAUGCAUUGGCUUGUGGCCAAUGCAGUGCUGCAGGGAAGCCGUUAAGUUUGCCGCCUGGGAAGUACGUACGCAAGUAUGAAACUUAAAGGAAUUGGCGGGGGAGCACCACAAGGGGUGAAGCCUGCGGUUCAAUUGGAUUCAACGCCGGG